UAUACUAUUAAAACAAGUUACACUUCGGAUUUUUAACACUAAUUGCCCUAACUUUUAGCCUAGCUACAUUUUUCCAUUAAAGGUAAUUUAGUCGUUUUAAGUCAUUCUGAUUUUUUCUCUAAACUGCGUUGUUUUCGUUAACAAAUAAACAAGAAAAUCUGUAAUCAAUUAUUAAACCCAAUAUUCUUUGCUUGAUUGGUUAGUAUAGUCUUUCCAAAUUUAUAGGUAACCAUUUUUAGUGUAUCAACCAUAUAUUGUAUAUAAUUUAUUAUUUAUAUCAGAUUUGAUAUCACGUAGAAGAGAAUAUACCAUUGGAUUUAGUACUUUGCUUUCAAAAUUUAUCAAAAUAAAUCGGAUCCUAUAUUGAAGCCACAAGAAUAUAGCACUAUAUACUCAAUUUUAAAAAUAUAGAAACAAGAGAAUAUGUACACUAUCUUUUGUUCAUAUAUUCUAUAUCCGCAACGGAUUUGUAACAACUAUAUUCUACAGAAUAUCUUAAAUACUGGCGGGGUAAAAGGGAAACAUAACAAACCAACUCAUAUAUAUUAUAUACUCUAUAGAUCCCAUCGUCUCUCAUUUUUCCACAACCAGAAACGACAUCCCUGGGCACUUGACACGUUCGAAAGAAUCAUAGAAGCUUCAAGAGGAAAAUAAAUCGUUAUGUGUCUCUGAUCCAGACAGAGCUUUCAUAUCCAGCAAGGUUCUUUAGGAUCCAACAUCUCCAACCUUUACUGUUUUCUCUUCUGUAACUAAUGUUAUGUGUUUCGCAGAUGAGAAGAAGUGAAAAAAACUAGCCAAGUAUUUUCCUAUUUCUAUAGUUACUGGUAGAUGCAUAGACAAUGUAUAUUUUAUAAUAUUUUCAUCUACUAUUUUGAAUGAUCAAAAUUUAAUUGAUUAACUAUAUGCAAAAUAUUUUUAAAGGUUUAUAGUUUUGUGAAGCUAGCAGAACUGUAUUAUGCUGGAAGCCAUGGGAUGGAUAUUAAAGGUCCAACAAAAGGAUAAACCAUCUGUUCUUAAUCAACCAGCUGGCGGCUCUCUUCCCAUGAUCGAUGAGGUUAUUAAACAAUUAGUGGAGAAAACCAAAUCAACACCAGGAGCCAAAUUGGAGAACAACAAGUUCUGUCUUUCUGUACACUUCCAUUGCGUCGAUGAAAAAGUAAAAAUUUACUUCAUAGUUACAAAAAGUUCCAAGUUAUGUAUAUUAUAAAGCUAGAGUAUCUCUCUAGAAGUUCCAGUGUAUUAAAUGUUAAUCAAUAUUUAUAUUAUUCUGUUAUAUGGUGACA